rnacentral:rRNA from 1 species
UACGUAGGGUGCGAGCGUUGUCCGGAAUUAUUGGGCGUAAAGAGCUCGUAGGCGGUGUGUCGCGUCGGUCGUGAAAACUUGGGGCUCAACUCCAGGCUUGCGGGCGAUACGGGCAGACUGGAGUACUGCAGGGGAGACUGGAAUUCCUGGUGUAGCGGUGGAAUGCGCAGAUAUCAGGAGGAACACCGGUGGCGAAGGCGGGUCUCUGGGCAGUAACUGACGCUGAGGAGCGAAAGCGUGGGGAGCGAACAGG